rnacentral:rRNA from 1 species
AUUGAACGCUGGCGGCAGGCCUAACACAUGCAAGUCGAACGAGUGGCGGACGGGUGAGUAAUGUCUGGGAAACUGCCUGAUGGAGGGGGAUAACUACUGGAAACGGUAGCUAAUACCGCAUACCAUAAGCUGUGCCCAGAUGGGCUUAGCUUGUUGGUGGGGUAACGGCUCACCAAGGCGACUAUCCCUAGCUGGUCUGGGAGGGUUACCAGCCCGUCGUGAACUGAGACACGUUCCAGACUCCUACGUGAGGUAGCAGGGGGGAAUAUUGCACAAUGGGCGCAAGCCUGAUGCAGCCAUGCCGCGUGUAUGAAGAAGGCCUUCGGGUUGUAAAGUACUGUCAGCGGGGAGGCGUUACCCGCAGAAGAAGCACCGGCUAACUCCGUGCCAGCAGCCGCGGUAAUUC